rnacentral:lncRNA from 1 species
AAGACCAUUCACUAAAGAAGACAACUGGAAUUUGUUUACCAAUGGUGGGAACUGAAAACUUGUUGCUUGCCAUUAACAUGCCAAUUCAGAUGCGAUUGUCUUCUAAAGAAUGUGCCGAGGCAAUCUACAUUGGAUCUGAAUAUCUGAUGGUAUUGUGAACGUGUUGCUUCAACCUUUACUUAUUUAGAAUCAUAUAUAUAAGUCAUCUAAGAAAAAUGUUAUUUAAGAUUUGCUGAAUAUAAAUAAAUAGAUGUAGAAGAUGUGAAUUAAUGUUCCUAAUGUUGAAUUGUUCAUUUCAAUGUCAAAAUUACACAGUUUUUUCUUACCCUAAUGCAUUUGAAAUUCUUAAUUCUUUUGUUUAAAUUAUACUGGAACCUAAUGCAUUUUGUCUCUUUUGAGCAGUAUUUUUGCUCUAAAAUGUGGUGCUGCCUGAUGAAGCCGUCUGCUGCACAGUGCUUCGAGUAGACCAACUGUUUUAUGGAUUGGUGGUGGUGACUGUUUUAUUAUUUUAUGAAUUAUUUUGUUGUUUUAUGGACUAGACUGUUUUAGUGACUCAAAUAUUUUAUGGACUAUUUUAGUGACUGGGGACUAUUUUAUGGACUAUUUUUAUGUAGAAAGUCUGUGAUAAUCGAUUUAUGGACUAUUUUUAUAAGUUUUGUGUUUGUUUUGUGGACAGGAUUGUUUAUGCAAA